rnacentral:rRNA from 1 species
UACGUAGGGGGCAAGCGUUGUCCGGAAUCAUUGGGCGUAAAGAGCGUGUAGGCGGCCAACUAAGUCAGACGUGAAAUCCCUCGGCUUAACCGGGGAACUGCGUCUGAUACUGGAUGGCUUGAGUUCGGGAGAGGGAUGCGGAAUUCCAGGUGUAGCGGUGAAAUGCGUAGAUAUCAGGAGGAACACCGGUGGCGAAGGCGGGUCUCUGGGCCGAUAUUGACGCUGAGGAGCGAAAGCGUGGGGAGCGAACAGG